AGAGUUUGAUCCUGGCUCAGAACGAACGCUGGCGGCAUGCCUAACACAUGCAAGUCGAACGAGACCUUCGGGUCUAGUGGCGCACGGGUGCAUAACGCGUGGGAAUCUGCCCUUGGGUUCGGAAUAACAGCUAGAAAUGGCUGCUAAUACCGAAUAAUGACGUAAGUCCAAAGAUUUAUCGCCCAAGGAUGAGCCCGCGUAGGAUUAGCUAGUUGGUGAGGUAAAAGCUCACCAAGGCGACGAUCCUUAGCUGGUCUGAGAGGAUGAUCAGCCACACUGGGACUGAGACACGGCCCAGACUCCUACGGGAGGCAGCAGUGGGGAAUAUUGGACAAUGGGCGAAAGCCUGAUCCAGCAAUGCCG
rnacentral:rRNA from 1 species